UUUUUGUAGUUGAAUAACAACGGCGGUUUUUCAGGUCGCAGGUUUUGGUUUAAAGGCCAAAUAAAAAUA
rnacentral:tRNA from 1 species